GAUGUAACAAACUAAAGAAGGGAGAGAGAGAGAGAGAGAGAGAGAGAGAGAAAGAGAGUUAUGAGGAAUUACUGAUACGUGAACGAGGAGAGGGAGGAAAAAAAGUUUUAGAAUCCGAGAGAAGACAGAAAAGUCACAUUUAGCUUGAAAUCAACAAUGAUGAAUGCAGCUCGUAUUCACGACAAGCAGAAGCUCAGGUCGUUCUGGGAGCAGAGGAUUGUUCAGCACAGCGAGCACAUGGACGUGGAGGAGAACCGCGUGAGGAGCAGCUCUCUGUCACGGCUAAGGGAGCAGUGGGUGGUCAGGUUGGAUCAAAGGAAUCAGUACCAGCAAAGUUUCUUCGAGGAGAGAAUCAGACGAGCUCAGAAAACUCAGCAGAGCCUCAGGAGGCUCGAUUCGGCCUGAAACCUGCUGACCAAUAGGAGCUCUGCAAAGACAUGAAUGCAUAAUUACUUUGUAAUUAUUCAAUUAUUUUUGGAAUAUGUAUAACUUUAUUUGUUAUGAAUAAAACAAAUAGAAUGCAAAACAUUUUACCAAGCUGUCAUAUAUGGAGUGAAUAAAAAAAGGCAGCCAUUGUUCUUUUUGGAAAAAACACAAAAUGUAAAAUGAAAUGUCUUCUUUAGAAAUGUUUUACCCUCUAGGUUGGACUUCAUUUCUGCCUUUACUGUUUGUCACAUCCAACAUGUGCUCUAUCAUUACAACUUUUUAUGACUCUGUGCGUCCUUUUGUUACUCAAGGACUCCAUAUCUUAGAGUAGAGAGAGUCAUCUCUUCACCAUCUUACAGUACGGCUCCAGUGCUUCAGGCGAGGGCGCUAGUCAUUGCGCCAGAGCACUCAACUCGCCGCUUGAUAGGCGUAUACCUACUUUAUGGCGGUUGAUAUAUUAUUUUAUUUUGUUUUCCCUCCUUUUUGCUGUAGGUUACACAAUUGGUGAAGUAGCCUCAAUGAAUGCACCUGAUUGGAUAGAUGAGCAGCUAGUCCGGGAGGUCGCUGGACUCAUUUGCAUAGAAAAGACUUCAGGUCUAUUCUUCUCUGGCAAGCGCACCAGAGCCCUUCUCAAGACGCGCCGCAAAGAUCCCAUAAUGCAUUGCGCGAUUGCCUCUCCGGCUCUCCAUAGGAAAUGAAUAGAAAGCGUCAAGACGCUAUCCAUCGUCAGAACCAGUGGAGCCGUAUAGGAAAGGAAAUGGAGCAUCCUACUGAAUAUUGUCCA